UGAAGUGCUAUGUCUGGGAUCACUGGUGAAAUCCCUGGAAGUCUGCACACUGCCAACACAAAUAGCAGCUAUAUUUAAGGACGGAGGAUUAUCCACUCCUUCACAGGGCCAUGCUACAUACCAGGCUCUGCUGUCAGUCCCUAGCAGCCAUUCUGUUUGAAGCUCAGACCAGCACAAAUAAUACAGAUGGACUUUUCUCCCGGAGAAAAAAAGCUUCAAAAGGACCUUCAGAAGGACCUGCAAUGACUGCCUACGUGAGCAUCCCCCUGCGCAGCUGUGUGCAAUGUGAAACCAGAAGGAUGCUGUGUUCCCACCUGCAAUUCCCCGGAGAGUAAUGCUUCUCUGUAAUAAAGCUCAGCUGCUCUGGGUCAGCAGAACUUCAGUGGGAUUUGUUUUUGAAGCCAGAAGACCCGUGCUGUGGUUCCAGCUCACAAACAUUAAAGAUUGCACUCACAUAAA